rnacentral:rRNA from 1 species
UUUAUCGACAUCCGUAGGUGAACCUGCGGAGGGAUCAUUACCGAGUUUACAACUCCCAAACCCAAUGUGAACGUUACCAAACUGUUGCCUCGGCGGGGUCACGCCCCGGGUGCGUCGCAGCCCCGGAACCAGGCGCCCGCCGGAGGAACCAACCAAACUCUUUCUGUAGUCCCCUCGCGGACGUAUUUCUUUACAGCUCUGAGCAAAAAUUCAAAAUGAAUCAAAACUUUCAACAACGGAUCUCUUGGUUCUGGCAUCGAUGAAGAACGCAGCGAAAUGCGAUAAGUAAUGUGAAUUGCAGAAUUCAGUGAAUCAUCGAAUCUUUGAACGCACAUUGCGCCCGCCAGUAUUCUGGCGGGCAUGCCUGUCCGAGCGUCAUUUCAACCCUCGAACCCCUCCGGGGGAUCGGCGUUGGGGAUCGGGACCCCUCACACGGGUGCCGGCCCCUAAAUACAGUGGCGGUCUCGCCGCAGCCUCUCCUGCGCAGUAGUUUGCACAACUCGCACCGGGAGCGCGGCGCGUCCACGUCCGUAAAACACCCAACUUUCUGAAAUGUUGACCUCGGAUCAGGUAGGAAUACCCGCUGAACUUAAGCAUAUCAAUAAGCGGAGGAA